rnacentral:rRNA from 1 species
GCUGGCGGCGUGCCUAACACAUGCAAGUCGCACGAGAAAGUGGAGCAAUCCAUGAGUAAAGUGGCGCACGGGUGAGUAACACGUGAAUGAUCUACCUCCGAGUGGGGAAUAACCUGGAGAAAUCCGGGCUAAUACCGCAUAACACUUACGAGUCAAAGCAGCAAUGCGCUUGGAGAGGAGUUCGCGGCCGAUUAGUUAGUUGGUGGGGUAAUGGCCUACCAAGACGAUGAUCGGUAUCCGGCCUGAGAGGGCGCACGGACACACUGGAACUGAAACACGGUCCAGACUCCUACGGGAGGCAGCAGUGGGGAAUUUUGCGCAAUGGGGGAAACCCUGACGCAGCAACGCCGCGUGGAGGAUGAAAUCCCUUGGGAUGUAAACUCCUUUCGAUCGGGACGAUUAUGACGGUACUGGAAGAAGAAGCCCCGGCUAACUUCGUGCCAGCAGCCGCGGUAAUACGAGGGGGGCAAGCGUUGUUCGGAAUUAUUGGGCGUAAAGGGCGCGUAGGCGGUUUGACAAGUCUGAUGUGAAAUCUCUGGGCUCAACUCAGAGUCUGCAU